GUCCACGCCGUAAACGAUGAGUGCUAGGUGUCACGGGCUUUGACCCUCGUGGUGCCGAAGCUAACGCGUUAAGCACUCCGCCUGGGGAGUACGGCCGCAAGGCUAAAACUCAAAGGAAUUGACGGGGGCCCCGCACAAGCGGUGGAGCAUGUUGUUUAAUUCGACGCAACGCGAAGAACCUUACCUGGGCUAGAAAGUACAGGAAUCCCGGCGAAAGUUGGGAGUGCCCUUCGGGGAACCUGUGGUUAGGUGCUGCAUGGCUGUCGU
rnacentral:rRNA from 1 species